rnacentral:rRNA from 1 species
AGCAGUAGCCACGGGAAUACGAAGGGGGCUAGCGUUGUUCGGAAUUACUGGGCGUAAAGCGCACGUAGGCGGACAUUUAAGUCAGGGGUGAAAUCCCUGGGCUCAACCCCGGAACUGCCUUUGAUACUGGGUGUCUAGAGUAUGGAAGAGGUGAGUGGAAUUCCGAGUGUAGAGGUGAAAUUCGUAGAUAUUCGGAGGAACACCAGUGGCGAAGGCGGCUCACUGGUCCAUUACUGACGCUGAGGUGCGAAAGCGUGGGGAGCAAACAGGAUUAGAUACCCCGGUAGUCCCUGUCUCUUAUAC